rnacentral:tRNA from 2 species
GCCGGAGUAGCUCAGCUGGUUAGAGCAACGGAAUCAUAAUCCGUGUGUCGGGGGUUCAAAUCCCUCCUCCGGUA